rnacentral:rRNA from 1 species
AGAGUUUGAUCAUGGCUCAGAACGAACGCCGGCGGGCGGCCUAACCCCAUGCAAGUCGAACGGAGUGAGGGGGCUUGCUCCUUCAUUCAGUGGCGCACGGGUGAGUAACGCGUGGAUAACCUGCCCUGGAAACCGGAAUAACAUUGCGAAAGCGGUGCUAAUACCGGAUAAGCCCACGACCCCAUGGGGUCGCGGGAAAAAGGCGGCCUCUGACUCAAGCUGCCGUUUCAGGAAGGGUCCGCGUCCUAUUAGCUAGUUGGCAGGGUAAAUGCCUACCAAGGCGACGAUGGGUAGCUGGUCUGAGAGGAUGGUCAGCCACACUGGAACUGAGACACGGUCCAGACUCCUACGGGAGGCAGCAGUGGGGAAUUUUGCGCAAUGGACGAAAGCCUGACGCAGCGACGCCGCGUGAGUGAUGAAGGCCUUCGGGUCGUAAAGCUCUGUCGGAGGGGAAGAAAUGCAGGGGUGCCAAUACCAUCCCCGCUUGACGGUACCCUCAAAGGAAGCACCGGCUAACUCCGUGCCAGCAGCCGCGGUAAUACGGAGGGUGCGAGCGUUGUUCGGAAUUAUUGGGCGUAAAGCGCGUGCAGGCGGUUUGUCAGGUCCGAUGUGAAAGCCCCGGGCCCAACCCGGGAAGUGCAUUGGAAACCGGCAGACUUGAAUUCGGGAGAGGAGAGCGGAAUUCCUGGUGUAGGGGUGAAAUCCGUAGAUAUCAGGAAGAACACCGGUGGCGAAGGCGGCUCUCUGGACCGACAUUGACGCUGAGACGCGAAAGCGUGGGUAGCAAACAGGAUUAGAUACCCUAGUAGUCC